AUGGUGUUAAGUAUACAUAUGUUCUCAAGGGGUUUUAUUUCCUGGCAUUUUGAACCCAAGGGGGUUUUCUCUGUCAAAUCAGCUUAUAAAAUUCAGUUUGGUAUUACCCAGCAACAAGCUAACCGUGCUACUGGUGAAGGCUCAGCGGGCUCGCAGUGGAGGAAAGGGGACGGGCACGCGGUAUGGAAAGCUCAUUGCCCUCCCAAAGUAAAACACUUCUUAUGGAGGUUCGCUCAUGAUAGCCACCUCUUGCUAAUGAAUAUAGAAAGACGGGGUGUGGAGCUGGAUACUCGUUGCUGCGUUUGCAGACAUCUAUUUGAAGGUGGCGGCCAUCUUUUCCUUCGCUGUAAGGAAGUCAAAAAAGUUUGGCGAACCACCCAGCUAGAGGGUGUGAGACAGGAGCUGCUUUUGUGUCAAGCUCCGUUGGAGAUUCUUGAGCGUAUUUUUGCACAACCGGAAAAGAUCAAGCAUGAAGAAUUUAGCGCACAACUGUCUUUUGAUGUUGCUGAAUGGUGCCAGUUUUUUACGCCCUCUCCAAAGCCUUUAUACAGGAUACGAGCAAGUGGAAACCGCCACCUGAGUUCGUAA
rnacentral:rRNA from 1 species